rnacentral:lncRNA from 1 species
CACAUCCAAAAGCCUGUGCUAGGCCUCUAUAGACUGCAAGAAAGUGUAUGAUAUAAGGUGGGAUUGGGCCAUAAAAAUCUAGCAGUUGCCCAUCCCUACCGUCAUCACAACCAAUGACAUCCAACUCCAUGAAAUCUUUCAUAACAAAGGAUUAAAUGCUCUUAAAUGCAAGUUGAAAUUGUAAUGCCAACUCCAUGGAUGGGCCUUUACAGGCAUUGACAACAAAACAAACAUAAUAAAGUA